GAUCAUGGCUCAGGACGAACGCUGGCGGCGUGCUUAACACAUGCAAGUCGAACGGGGAUGUUGAAGAUGAGAGCUUCGGCAGGAUUCAUCAACAUUCCAGUGGCGGACGGGUGAGUAACGCGUGAACAAUCUGUCCCGGACAGGGGAAUAACACUUGGAAACAGGUGCUAAUACCGCAUAAGACCACGGCGUCGCAUGGCGCAGGGGUAAAAGGAGCAAUCCGGUUCGGGGUGAGUUCGCGUCCGAUUAGAUAGUUGGUGAGGUAACGGCCCACCAAGUCGACGAUCGGUAGCCGACCUGAGAGGGUGAUCGGCCACAUUGGAACUGAGAGACGGUCCAAACUCCUACGGGAGGCAGCAGUGGGGAAUAUUGGGCAAUGGGCGAAAGCCUGACCCAAGCAACGCCGCGUGAGUGAAGAAGGCUUUCGGGUUGUAAAGCUCUGUUAUGUGGGACGAAGGAAGUGACGGUACCACAUAAGGAAGCCCCGGCUAACUACGUGCCAGCAGCAGC
rnacentral:rRNA from 1 species